GGAUUUUUUGUUCCGGCUCUCGCGGACUUGGGCCUUGGGUGAAUCUCUAGUUCUCGACAAACGGUGCGAGUUUUUAGGGCUUUUCUGAUUUUGGCGGGAAAGAGCGUGGGGGAAGGGGAAGGGGAAGGGGAAGGGGAAGUGCGCGAGGAUGGCGAACCAGCUGAUCAGUGAGAUGGGACUGCCUAAAUCGAUCGCCAACGUCUUCGCCGCUCGCAACAUCAGGACCGCUAAGGAUGCAUUGUCUUUAACUGAAUUCGAUCUGAUGGAGUUGGUGGACAUGGGGUUGACAGAAGUGACAUCGGUACUGGUGCACAUCAGCGAGAGAGUGUCUCCUCCACAUCAAACUGCACGGUCACUUUUACAGCAACGUAUUCAAAAUGAGCAAUUGGCUGGUCAUCUUCCAACAGGACUCAAAGGUUUGGAUGAAGCCUUAUUUGGUGGAAUUCCUUUUGGAGUUAUAACAGAGUUGGUCGGUCCUGCUGGAAUCGGCAAAACUCAAUUUUGCCUGAAGCUCUCAUUAUUGGCAUCUCUGCCAACGCGUCAUGGAGGUCUAGAUGCCCAAGUUAUAUACAUUGACGUGGAGUCCAAAUUUAGUUCAAAAAGGCUGAUAGAAAUUGGUGCACAGAGUUUUCCUGAGAUUUUUCACAUGAGCGGAAUGGCACAGGAGAUGGCUGGUCGGAUUCUUGUCUUGCGGCCAGCAUCCCUCGCUGAAUUUACUGAAAGUCUUCAACAAAUUAAAAUUUUGCUGCUGGAGCGCCGUGUGAAGCUGCUAGUUAUUGAUAGCAUGGCAGCUCUCACUUCAGGGGAAUUAGAGCAUGGAGCUUCCAAGAUAAACCCAUUGGGAUGGCACAUAUCUUUUCUUAAGUCAGUGGCUGAAUUGUCGAGAAUUCCAAUUGUAGUUACAAACCAAGUCAAAUCUCAAAGCAGUGAUGAAGCCUGGCGCUAUAAUUUUCAAGAGCCGCUGGGUGUAUUAUGUGCAGUGGGGACCAGACGCCAAGAUUUAGAGGACACUUCUAAGUAUGAUUCCCACCUAAUUGCUGCUUUGGGUAUUCACUGGGCACAUGCUGUGACCAUUCGUCUCAUACUUGAAACAAUAUCAGGCGAAAGGUUUAUAAAGGUGGCUAAAUCUCCGAUGUCCCCAGCGCUGGCUUUCCCGUUUAGCAUAACUUCAUCCGGGAUCUCAUUACUGAAUGAUGAUGGAAUAGAAGUGGUGGGGCAAGAGAUAAGCACAAUACAUUGCCAUGGGCCUAAUUUAUGGCAUGUUGUAUCAGUCUGCAGUUUCACCAUCCUUAAUGAAUGCGACAGUGCAGAUAGAAUGCAUAUAUACCUGAUGAUGCAGAAGAAUCUUGAUGUUGGUAUUUGUUUUGUGACAACCAUUCUUCAUUAAUAUGUGGUCGUCUGUUGGACUCCAAUCCCACAGCUUUAUCGCUUUCUCAAGAUCUGUAUGCUACUUAAUUGAUUAGGUGCGGUUGAAGCCUGUUUAGCAUCGUCCUUUUUGGUGCUUUAUAGUGCUGUAUCCGUGUGCUGCUAUCUCCUGCUUGUCUUGUUUACCGGCCAAGCGUUGGGCACACGCGAGCAUCGAGGCCCAGUCCAAUGACCUUUUACCAUUUCUUGACUUCAGCCUGUCGAUGUGUCGUGGCCCUAGGUACGGCAACUAAUUGUUGACAAAACCAAGGCCUGUUAUACGUCCCAAGCAUUCAAAUUUUUUAUACGAUCUCUUGAUCUAUUAGCAAUGUUACCUCGGCAUGUUCUCCACCUAGAUUCAGCAUGAGCCAGCACUUUAAUUUGUUGUUUGUGGACACCAAGGAAUGUGAGCUUCACAUCGUAUUCCAUUGUUGUCUACUGAAGGAGCGAAGGAAAUAGUCAACCUUCUCUUAAACAAGCACGAAUACAAAGAGAAGCAGCCAGGCAUGACUAGCUUCUUGAGGGUUUUUA